rnacentral:rRNA from 1 species
UACGUAGGGUGCGAGCGUUGUCCGGAAUUAUUGGGCGUAAAGAGCUCGUAGGCGGCUUGUCGCGUCGGAUGUGAAAGCCCGGGGCUUAACUCCGGGUCUGCAUUCGAUACGGGCAGGCUAGAGUUCGGUAGGGGAGAUCGGAAUUCCUGGUGUAGCGGUGAAAUGCGCAGAUAUCAGGAGGAACACCGGUGGCGAAGGCGGGGUCUCUGGGCCGUAACUGACGCUGAGGAGCGAAAGCGUGGGGGAGCGAACAGG